rnacentral:rRNA from 1 species
AUGCAGUCGAGCGGCAGCACGGGGAGCUUGCUCCCUGGUGGCGAGCGGCGGACGGGUGAGUAAUGCAUAGGAAUCUGCCCGGUAGUGGGGGAUAACGUGGGGAAACCCACGCUAAUACCGCAUACGUCCUACGGGAGAAAGCGGAGGCUCUUCGGACUUCGCGCUAUCGGAUGAGCCUAUGUCGGAUUAGCUAGUUGGUAAGGUAACGGCUUACCAAGGCGACGAUCCGUAGCUGGUCUGAGAGGAUGAUCAGCCACACUGGGACUGAGACACGGCCCAGACUCCUACGGGAGGCAGCAGUG